CUCGAGGCCAGAUCUUUCCGGUUGAUCCUGCCGGACCUGACUGCUAUCGGAUUGGUACUAAGCCAUGCGAGUCAUUGUAGCAAUACAAGGCAGACGGCUCAGUAACACGUAGUCAACUUACCCUAUGGACGGGGAUAACCUCGGGAAACUGAGAAUAAUACCCGACAGAUCAUUGUGCCUGGAAUGGCUAAUGGUUGAAAUGAUUUAUCGCCGUAGGAUGGGACUGCGGCCUAUCAGUUUGUUGGCGGGGUAAUGGCCCACCAAGACUAUUACAGGUACGGGCUCUGAGAGGAGAGGCCCGGAGAUGGGUACUGAGACACGGACCCAGGCCCUAUGGGGCGCAGCAGGCGAGAAACCUUUGCAAUGUGCGAAAGCACGACAAGGUUAAUCCGAGUGUUUUCUGCUAAAGAAAUCUUUUGUCAGUCCUAAAAACACUGAUGAAUAAGGGGUGGGCAAGUUCUGGUGUCAGCCGCCGCGGUAAAACCAGCACCUCAAGUGGUCAGGAGGUUUAUUGGGCCUAAAGCAUCCGUAGCCGGCUAUGCAAGUUUUCGGUUAAA
rnacentral:rRNA from 1 species